rnacentral:sRNA from 1 species
AUAAGGUUCUUUUAGGUUUGGUCGGCUAGCCCUAGUUUUGAAAAAGGGGGUGAAGCCUUUGAGCAUUUUUGAAGUGUUUAUGAUUAUGUUUGCGUUUGGCACGUUUAUUAUAGGGUUGUUGACGCUUAUUGAAAAAAUGAUCAAUAAAAAAUAGACCUCCCUAUUAACCCUUGGAACAGUUGAUUGGGAGAGGUCUAUUCAGAUUGGAUAGCUGAUCCCCUGGGGGAACGCUUAUCAUUUAGACCACAGUUGCAACUGUGGUCU